AGCAAAAGGUUAUAUUACAAUCUGCAGAGAAGAAUAAUUGCUUUCCAAAGUAGCCAUGCUUUAAUUUAGACCCUACUUCCCAUUAUACUCCUUUGUUGGUUAGUUGGACUUUUAGUCAGUCUAAAUUACAUACCUAUAAUUUUGGAAUAUCUAAUCACAAUUUCAAUUAAUGUUCUGGUAAAUAUAAACUAUGAGUGUAAUACAUUUAUUUGUAUUAUAUUGCUGGUUAAGAUGAAGUGUUUGCCUUAAAAAAUCAAUUUCACAGACCCAUUUUACAGCAAACAUUUUGACUUGUCAAAGUAGGGAAAGUGUAUGAAUAAUGGCUGUAUUCCACUUAGGGGAGGUCCCCCUUUUGCACAUUCUGUUUUACUGCCAUGAAAUAGGAAACUUAAUGGAACUAGGAAAACAUUACUUUGACCUGCUCCUCCCCUACUGUGACAACUAAAAAUACACAGACGGGUGACAAAUUCAAGUAAAAACUACUCGCUGUAAUGCCCUUUAAUUUGUCAUCUGUCUUACUGCAGUCUAAAAUGGCCUAGCUUUGCAAACUUGGAAUAAGCCCACUGCUAAACUAAAACAUUUAUUAACUGUCUGAUAAUACUACAAUUCACUAACACCAGGUUCACAAACAAUGUUGCAAUACAGCGUCUGGCCACUAGUGGCAGCAGUGCGGCCAUUCACCGCAGGUGAGCGACAAAACGAUGACGUCUUGUAUGUAACUUGUGUCCCAGGAGCUGAGGUCUGUGAGCGUCUAUUCAUCCUUGACAUACUGGAACUGAUGAGGAUACACCUCCUGCCUCCCACACUGACCACAAAGCAGUCAGCCUUAGUCUGUGACUCCUUCCAGCCUAUAAAAUCGCCCUGUGUGCUUCCCUCCCCCAUUGCUUGUCACCGUCCAGUCCCCUGGGGCGUCUGUCUGGGAUCUGCCAGGCUCAUCAGUGAGGAGAGGAGAGGAGAAGGCUAACUGGGAGCCCUUACUGGCUGUAAAUCCAGGGAGGGUGGAGAACCUGCAGCGGCCACACGUCCACUGCAGCCCAGUAAGUCCAGCUGCCACCUCUCUUCCCCCCAACCCCCAGUACACUUAAGACCCUUACAAUCCAUCUGCAUGUGCAAAUACAUUCACACAAGUACUCAACAAGGGUUUCUUCUCCUACUGUUCAAAGUUAACCUAACUUAAUCCUGUUGCAACCUGACCCAAGGAAUUGGAUUUAACACUCUUUUUUUUUUUUUACAUGUGCACCAGGUAUUUUGAUGCAGACACUCUGUCUCUUUAUAUAAAGGUAGAGAGAAUUAACGUGUGUGUCUGUGUUUGUUAUUGUUAAUCUUUUGCAAUACUGUCAAUUUUGCCUCCUGUUAAAACAAUAAAUGAAAUGAUUAUAGGCCUGUAUCUGUGGGCAAAUUGUCUGUAUGAAUACGCAUAUCGUUGGACUCAAGAAGAGUUUCUAUUUGUGCUCAAGUGUUUAUUAUUUCCUUGAAGGAGGAUGACAGCAAAUGUUUGCUGCUAAUGAGGUGAUCAGAGUUCUAGUUGUGUCUAAGAAGUGAGACAUAUUAUUUAAUCCAUGGUGCUAUGCAGAGGUAAUUUCAGUCUCAGAGUAGUCAUAAAGUGCUGGAAGCCUAGCACAGAUCUCGACUGCAAUGCAGUGAGAGGGCCCUUCUCUCUCAUACAUACAUUUAGCUGGGUGUGAUACCAUUCCAUACACAUAGACACACACCCUCCCUCUCCUUAUCUGAGAAAUAAGCAUUUUUACAGAGUUUGAGCUGUAAAAGGAGAGGAGCAGAUAGCCCAUAAAUCUAGCCAUAAAAACGUUAAGUUGUCAGAGGUGCCAUCAGCUAUCAAUCGUGUGCGGCAAGCUGAUGAAGGGGAAAUAGGUGAUAAAAAACAGCAUUUUAGGGAAAUUAUGUCCAGUCUUCCAUUUGCGAAGUGCUGCAGUCGCAUCACUGCAGAAUCUUAAUCACUGGCUGGUGUGGUCAGGGACUGUUCCUCGGUGUGACAGUGAGGAGGAGCACACCCUAGUGGGAGGGUGGGAUAUGGAGGAGGCAAGAAGAGCCGUAGCAAGGGGGGAGGGGGUGCAUUGGUGUGGGGGCAGCGUUGUAGAAAAUUAUACAACUACCAUAAAUCACUUCUACACUACCGUUUUUUUUCCUCUCCCUCAAUUUCUCACUUCCCCCAUCCCCACACUCGUGCUCUGCCUCUUUCUCUGUUUCUUUCUGUACCUCAAGGCUGUGCAUCUUCUUCUUCUCAUUUGCACUCCCACCCUGACGGUCCCCCUGGCUUUCCGCCCUUUAUUCUUCUUUCAGUCCCUGGCGAUGUUCUUUAUUCGAAGCACUGUUGGUUACUCUCACUUCCCCAUUCUCUAUCUGUCUCAGCUUCAUUUACACUGUGGUUUGUUUACAUGCUUUCUUUAUUGAUCUGCUUUUUGUUGCCUAGCAGGGAUUUAUCUCCUGUCCAUGGGACUGUAUUAGUAAACCUCGAAAUUGACCUGUCUCUCUGAGAUGGUUCCGAUAUAGUCUGUUCUUGAAAUAAAAGAAAAUGCCAUCUUGUCUGCAGCUUAUUUCACAUUUUAUCAGACAGCACUGUGACGGGAUUCCUGGUUGCUUCUUUAUUGGGGAUUUUUUCCAAAUAGAAAAACAACCAGUGAUGCUUUUAUAUGCUGAGGCAUUCUACUAUAA